rnacentral:rRNA from 1 species
GACGAACGCUGGCGGCGUGCUUAACACAUGCAAGUCGAACGAUGAACCCGGAGCUUGCUCCGGUGGAUUAGUGGCGAACGGGUGAGUAACACGUGAGUAACCUGCCCUUGACUCUGGGAUAACUGCGGGAAACUGUAGCUAAUACCGGAUACGACCCUCGGCGGCAUCGACAGGGGGUGGAAAGAAUUUCGGUCAAGGAUGGACUCGCGGCCUAUCAGCUAGUUGGUGAGGUAACGGCUCACCAAGGCGACGACGGGUAGCCGGCCUGAGAGGGUGACCGGCCACACUGGGACUGAGACACGGCCCAGACUCCUACGGGAGGCAGCAGUGGGGAAUAUUGCACAAUGGGCGCAAGCCUGAUCCAGCCAUGCCGCGUGAGUGAAGAAGGUCUUCGGAUUGUAAAGCUCUUUUGCCAGGGACGAUAAUGACGGUACCUGGAGGAUAAGCCCCGGCAAACUUCGUGCCAGCAGCCGCGGUAA